AAAAAGGCAAACCCUGGGUUUCCGUGUCUAACUUUGACUGUCCGUCUUAUAUGAAAUUUUUUUAUAAUCCGUAUUUUUAUUGUUGUUAGAUGAUAAAACAUGAUUAAUACUUUGUGCGUGACUUGUCUUUUUAAUUUUUUUUAUAAUUUUUUUAAAUAAGACGAACGGUCAAAUGUUGGGCACGGAAACCAAGGUUUGUCUUUUUU
rfam:Oryza rufipogon genomic scaffold, chr05